rnacentral:tRNA from 1 species
GGAGAGGUACCCAAGUGGUUGAAGGGGGCGGUUUGCUAAACCGCUAGCAGGUGUUAAGCCUGGCCCGGGUUCAAAUCCCGGCCUCUCCGCCA